UACGUAGGGGGCAAGCGUUGUCCGGAUUUAUUGGGCGUAAAGAGCGUGUAGGCGGUUUGGUAGGUCCGUUGUGAAAACUCGAGGCUUAACCUCGAGACGCCGAUGGAAACCAUCAGACUAGAGUCCGGAAGAGGAGAGUGGAAUUCCUGGUGUAGCGGUGAAAUGCGCAGAUAUCAGGAAGAACACCCGUGGCUAAGGCGGCUCUCUAGUACGGUACUGACGCUGAGACGCGAAAGCGUGGGGAGCGAACAGG
rnacentral:rRNA from 1 species